UACGAAGGGGGCUAGCGUUACUCGGAUUGACUGGGCGUAAAGGGCGCGUAGGCGGUUUGUACAGUCAGACGUGAAAUUCCUGGGCUCAACCUGGGGGCUGCGUUUGAUACGUGCAGACUUGAGUUCGGAAGAGGGUCGUGGAAUUCCCAGUGUAGAGGUGAAAUACGUAGAGAUUGGGAAGAACACCAGUGGCGAAGGCGGCUAUCUGGACGGUUUCUGACGCUAAGACGCGAAAGCGUGGGGAGCAAACAGG
rnacentral:rRNA from 1 species